GCGGAUGUAGCCAAGUGGAUUC
rnacentral:tRNA from 1 species